ACUCCUACGGGAGGCAGCAGUGGGAAUCUUGCGCAAUGGGCGAAAGCCUGACGCAGCAACGCCGCGUGAGGGAUGAAGGCCUUCGGGUUGUAAACCUCUUUCAGAAGGGAAGAAAUUGACGGUACCUUCAGAAGAAGCCCGCCGCAACUACGUGCCAGCAGCCGCGGUAAUACGUAGGGCGAAGCGUUGUCCGGAAUUAUUGGGCGUAAAGAGCUCGUAGGCGGCUCAGCAAGUCGACUGUGAAAUCCCGAGGCUCAACCUCGGAACUGCAGUCGAUACUGCUGUGGCUUGAGUCUGGUAGAGGAGAAUGGAAUUCCCGGUGUAGCGGUGAAAUGCGCAGAUAUCGGGAGGAACACCAGUAGCGAAGGCGGUUCUCUGGGCCAGUACUGACGCUGAGGAGCGAAAGCGUGGGUAGCAAACAGGAUUAGAUACCCUGGUAGGCUCUGC
rnacentral:rRNA from 1 species